rnacentral:rRNA from 1 species
UACAGAGGUCUCAAGCGUUGUUCGGAUUCAUUGGGCGUAAAGGGCGCGUAGGCGGCGGGGUAAGUCGGGUGUGAAAUCUCAGGGCUCAACCCUGAAACUGCACUCGAUACUGCUCUGCUUGAGGACUGGAGAGGAGACUGGAAUUCACGGUGUAGCAGUGAAAUGCGUAGAUAUCGUGAGGAAGACCAGUGGCGAAGGCGG